rnacentral:rRNA from 1 species
GACGAACGCUGGCGGCAGGCCUAACACAUGCAAGUCGAGCGGAGCGGCGGACGGGUGAGUAAUGACUAGGACUCUGCCUGUUAGUGGGGGAUAGCGACCGGUAAAGGGCGCUGAUACCACAUACUAUCCGAUGAGCCUAGGUCGGAUUAGCUAGUUGGUGGGGUAAAGGCCUACCAAGGCGACGAUCCGUAACUGGUCUGAGAGGAAGAUCAGUCACACGGGAACUGAGACACGGUCCAGACUCCUACGGGAGGCAGCAUCGGGGAAUAUUGGACAAUGGGCGAAAGCCCGAUCCAGCCAUGCCGCGUGUGUGAAGAAGGUCUUCGGGUUGUAAAGCACUUUAAGUUGGGAGGCGUUACCAACAGAAUAAGCACCGGCUAACUCCGUGCCAGCAGCCGCGGUAAUAC